rnacentral:rRNA from 1 species
UACGUAGGGGGCUAGCGUUGUCCGGAAUCAUUGGGCGUAAAGCGCGUGUAGGCGGUCCGGUAAGUCCGCUGUGAAAGUCGAGGGCUCAACCCUCGAAUGCCGGUGGAUACUGUCGGGCUUGAGUACGGGAGAGGCGAGUGGAAUUCCUGGUGUAGCGGUGAAAUGCGCAGAUAUCAGGAGGAACACCGAUUGCGAAGGCAGCUCGCUGGGACGGAACUGACGCUGAGGCGCGAAAGCGUGGGGAGCAAACAGG